rnacentral:rRNA from 1 species
GACGAACGCUGGCGGCGUGCUUAACACAUGCAAGUCGAGCGGUAAGGCCCUUUCGGGGGUACACGAGCGGCGAACGGGUGAGUAACACGUGGGUGACCUGCCCUCAGCUCUGGGAUAAGCCUGGGAAACCGGGUCUAAUACCGGAUAUGACUCCAUGACGCAUGUUGUGGGGUGAAAGCCUUGUGCGGCUGAGGAUGGGCCCGCGGCCUAUCAGCUUGUUGGUGGGGUGAUGGGCCUACCAAGGCGACGACGGGUAGCCGGCCUGAGAGGGCGACCGGCCACACUGGGGACUGAGACACGGGCCCAGACUCCUACGGGAGGCAGCAGUGGGGAAUCUUGCGCAAUGGGCGAAAGCCUGACGCAGCGACGCCGCGUGAGGGAUGACGGCCU